rnacentral:lncRNA from 10 species
CCCCUCUGGAUUAGAUGGGGAGAUUUGGGAUGGCUGAUGUUUAUUUUCUUAACAAUCUGGUUAAAAAAAUCAGUCAGAUAGGUUGGGUUCAAAUCACUCCUCCACCACAAAUAGUAAUGUGACUGUGGAUGAGUUAAACAUGCAAACUCAGUAUAUCCUCAUCUGUAAAUGAGAGAUAAUAAUACUAACUACCUCACUGGGUUCUGGGAGAAGUAAAUGAGAUAAUGCUUCAAAGAAUGACAGGUAAAAAUAAUUGCUUAAUAUAUUUUAUUAUUAUCAUAAUCAGUAUUACCAUGGGGUCAAAUACAAAAUAGGCACUUAAUAAUUUUGUUUGUAACUACAUUGCAAAUCACUUGAUUUUAAAUCAACUGGAAACUUUUCUGCUGUUAGCACAGGACAAUUCUUCAGGUAUCUUUGGACUGACACAGUUACCCCUCUUUUUUACUCAUAGUUCUCAAGAAUAAAUAUAGAAUAUGCUGAGAAUGCAACAUCUUAAGAUAGGGAGAAACUAGCCUGAACAGCCUAGGUUCUGUUCUAAUCCCUCAUAGAAACAGCAUGUCCUUCAACACAUUAGCACAGUGAAUCAUGUUAUGCUGGGGUAUAAAACCUAGGGUGGAGUGCUUUCUUGGGACCCUCGACUGCAGUGCAAAUGUGGCACAUGCAGAUGAAACCCCAUCUGCCAAACUAGCUUUCUUGAGGCUUUUACGAAUCAUAGGCUUCUGUUGUCCUAUCUGUAAGUAAUACACUGGCUUCAGGUAACCUGCGUGGAGGAGUGUUCUAUCUCACUGGAUUAAGACAGGUUGGUAAUCAGUAGACAGUGAAACUGCUCUGUAGCCAAGUCAUUCUAUUUUGGUUUGCAUGGUCUUUUCUAAGAUAGAUAGUCCACUUUCAGCACAAGAGAAAGAAUUGGGGAACGCUGUUGAAGGAUUCACUUUACCAAACCUUACUGUGUGACAAGCAUAUCAUGAGAUUUUAUAAACAUAUUUCUCAUGUAUAUUCACAAUUUCUGAGAUGUAAAUGGCAUUAACUUUAUUUUGUAAGUAAAGAAGCUGUGGCUCCAGACAAAUAAAUGGCUCAAGGUCACACAGCUUGCUAUUAUAAUAAGCAUAUAUUCAAAGGGGAGCAAAGAAGAAUGGAGAGGAAAGUAAUGUGUUUUCUUUCCUUCCAGGUUUCAGCAUUACUUUGGUGUUACUAGCCUAUCUAACUUUCUUUUGCCCCCCAGAUGUUUCAGCACUGCUAUACUGUAGUUAGAAAUAGUAGAAAAGUGCAAUCAUUUAUAACCAAGUCAGAGAUAAGAUUUAAAACAAACAACAAAGAGUUUGUAUAUGGCUUUAUGUAACUAAGAGGUAAUGAAAUUCACAUCUUUCAAGAUUUAAUGUGAGGAGCAGAGCCUGAGCUGACUCAAGCCACUGAUUUACCAGCCCCUCACUUCUCCAAAGCGUGGACCAGCCCAGCACCCAACCCCCCGAGGAGCAGAGCCCAAGUAGGUGGAAUAGCCAUACAAAUCUCUACAGCCUAAGCCAUUGAGGCACACACAGGCAUUGCUGAUGUUGACUAUAGCUGAAGAAACUGUACAAAGACUACACUAUUGCACCCACCCAAAGAAAAGCCAACGCACCCUACCCAACUGACACCCUAGGACAUAUCUGUAGAAGAAAGUUUUUUCCCAUGAAAGCCACACUACAAAACUGGAAGACGUGAAUGUUCCAUUAAAUGCACAGAUAUCAAGCAAGGGAGACAAGAACAUGAAAAAGCAGUGAAGUAUAACACCACAAAGCACAGUAAUUCUCCAGUAAUUCUCCAGUAAUUGACCUCAAAAAUGAAAAUUUUAAAUUGCCUGAAAAGAAAUUCAAAAUAAUAACUUUAAGAAAACUCAGAGGCAAAGGAAUAUUAAAAAGACAAUUCAAUUAAAAUGAAAAAACCAUCAUUUGAGAAAUUCAACAAAAAGAUAGGUAUCAAAAAUGAAAAAAACAGAAAUAUUGGAGCUGAAUUUAAUAAAAAUUAUCAUUGAAAGCUUCAACAACACAUUACAUCAAGCAGAAGAAUCUCUGAACAUGAAGAGAUGCCUUUUGAAAUAAUCCAGUCAAACAAGAAAAAAGAAUAGAAAAGAAUGAAGAAAGUCUGUCAAACUUACUAGACACUAUUAAGCAAACAAAUGAUUGCAUUAUGGCAGUUCCAGAAGUGGAAAAGAUGGGAAAAGUCAUAGAAAAUUUAAUGAAAUAAUAGCUAAAAAGCUUCCAAGUCUUGGGAGAGAUAUGCAAAGCCAGAUACACAAUGCUCUAAAGCUCCCCAAAGUUUCAACCCAAAAAGUUCUUCUCCAAGGCAUAUUAUAGUCAAACUGUCAAAAGUAAAUGAUAGAGAAUUCUAAAAACAACAAGAAAAGAGUGUCAAGUCAUGUAUAGGGGAGUCCCUAUUAGACUAACAGCAGAUUUCUCAGCAGACCAGGAGAGAAAACCAUAAAAACCAGGACAGAAUGGGAUGAUAUAUUCAAAGUGCUGAAAGAAAACAAGCUGUCAGAGAAGAAUACUAUGUCCAGCAAAGUUAUCUCUGAGAAACAAAGGAGAAAUAAAGUCCUUCCCAGACAACCAAAACUUCAGGAAAUUGAUCACCAGUAGACUAGCCUUACAAGAAAUGCAUGAGGAAGUACUUCAACUGGAAGUGAAAUAACAACUACCAUCACGUAAACAACAUGAAAAUAUAUAACUCACUGGUAGAACAGAUAUGCAAAUGAGAAAGAGAAAGGAAUCAAAUCCUAUUACUACAAAAAAAAAAAAAUCAGAAAACUGCAAAGAUCAACAAUAAAAGAAGAAACAAAGGAUAUACCAAAAAAAAAAAAAAAAAAAAAACCCAAAACAACUAACAAAAUGACAACAGUAAGUCCUUACCUAUCAAUAAUAACCUUGAAUGAAAAUGGAUUAAAUUCCCCAUUUAAAAAAUGUAGACUGGCUGAAUUAAUGAAGAAAUAAGAUGCAACUAUAUGCUGCCAACAAGAAACUCAAUCUCACCUGUAAAGACACUACAGACUGAGGGUGAAGAGAUGGAAAAAGAUUAUUCAAACAAAUGGAAACCAAAACAAGCAAGAGUAGCUAUACUUAUAUCAUCAGAUAAAUUAGACUUUAAGUAAAAAACUGUCAAGAGAGAAAAGGAAGGUCCCUAUAUAAUGAUAAAGGGAUCAAAUCAGCAACGGGAUAUAAUUCUAAGUAUACAUGCACCCAAAACCAGAGCACUCAGUUAUAUAAGUCAAAUGUUAUUAGCUCUAAAGAGAGAGAGGGAAACCUCAAUACAAUAAUAGCUGGGGUCUUCAACACCUCACUCUCAGCAAACAUAUCAUCUAGAUAGAUAACCAGCAAAGAAAUAUCAGAUUUACACUGCAAUAUAGCCCAACUGGACCUAACAGACAUUUACAGAACAUUUCAUCCAACAAAGGCAGAAUACACCUUCUUCUCAUCAGAACAUAGAACAUUCUCCAGGAUAGACCAUAUGCUAGGUCACAAAACAAGCCUUAACAACAUUUUAAAAACUGAAUUCAUAUCAAGUAUUUUUUCUGACUACAAUGGAAUAAAACUAGAAUUCGACAAGAGGAACUUUGGAAACUAUAAAAACACAUGGAAAUUAAACAACAUCUUCCUGAAUGAUCAAUGGGUUGAGGAAGAAAUUAAGAAGGAAAUGUAAAAA